CGGAACAUCAUGGCUAUAAUGCAGUAGAACGCUGAGAGAGGAGCUUGCUCUUCUUGGAUGAGUUGCGAACGGGUGAGUAACGCGUAGGUAACCUGCCUUGUAGCGGGGGAUAACUAUUGGAAACGAUAGCUAAUACCGCAUAACAAUGGAUGACACAUGUCAUUUAUUUGAAAGGGGCAAUUGCUCCACUACAAGAUGGACCUGCGUUGUAUUAGCUAGUAGGUGAGGUAAUGGCUCACCUAGGCGACGAUACAUAGCCGACCUGAGAGGGUGAUCGGCCACACUGGGACUGAGACACGGCCCAGACUCCUACGGGAGGCAGCAGUAGGGAAUCUUCGGCAAUGGGGGCAACCCUGACCGAGCAACGCCGCGUGAGUGAAGAAGGUUUUCGGAUCGUAAAGCUCUGUUGUAAGUCAAGAACGGGUGUGAGAGUGGAAAGUUCACACUGUGACGGUAGCUUACCAGAAAGGGACGGCUAACUACGUGCCAGCAGCCGCGGUAAUACGUAGGUCCCGAGCGUUGUCCGGAUUUAUUGGGCGUAAAGCGAGCGCAGGCGGUUUGAUAAGUCUGAAGUUAAAGGCUGUGGCUCAACCAUAGUUCGCUUUGGAAACUGUCAAACUUGAGUGCAGAAGGGGAGAGUGGAAUUUCCAUGUGUAGCGGUGAAAUGCGUAGAUAUAUGGAGGAACACCGGUGGCGAAAGCGGCUCUCUGGUCUGUAACUGACGCUGAGGCUCGAAAGCGUGGGGAGCGAACAGGAUUAGAUACCCUGGUAGUCCACGCCGUAAACGAUGAGUGCUAGGUGUUGGAUCCUUUCCGGGAUUCAGUGCCGCAGCUAACGCAUUAAGCACUCCGCCUGGGGAGUACGACCGCAAGGUUGAAACUCAAAGGAAUUGACGGGGGCCCGCACAAGCGGUGGAGCAUGUGGUUUAAUUCGAAGCAACGCGAAGAACCUUACCAGGUCUUGACAUCCCGAUGCUAUUUCUAGAGAUAGAAAGUUACUUCGGUACAUCGGUGACAGGUGGUGCAUGGUUGUCGUCAGCUCGUGUCGUGAGAUGUUGGGUUAAGUCCCGCAACGAGCGCAACCCCUAUUGUUAGUUGCCAUCAUUCAGUUGGGCACUCUAGCGAGACUGCCGGUAAUAAACCGGAGGAAGGUGGGGAUGACGUCAAAUCAUCAUGCCCCUUAUGACCUGGGCUACACACGUGCUACAAUGGUUGGUACAACGAGUUGCGAGUCGGUGACGGCGAGCUAAUCUCUUAAAGCCAAUCUCAGUUCGGAUUGUAGGCUGCAACUCGCCUACAUGAAGUCGGAAUCGCUAGUAAUCGCGGAUCAGCACGCCGCGGUGAAUACGUUCCCGGGCCUUGUACACACCGCCCGUCACACCACGAGAGUUUGUAACACCCGAAGUCGGUGAGGUAACCUUUUGGAGCCAGCCGCCUAAGGUGGGACAGAUGAUUGGGGGAAGUCGUGAUUGGGGGUAGUCGAGUUCGGUCCCCU
rnacentral:rRNA from 1 species